UAUAGAGGGGCUAGUGCUGAUGGUGUUGGUCCCAGACAGGCAUACCGCGGGGCCACCACGGGAAACUCGAGGUUUGGUUUUACUCAUAGUGUGACUCAUCCGUCGUGUCCUGAGAACGAGAUACGUGGCUCCUAUUGGGAUCGUUGACACGUGGGCGACCUUGCUGAAUUUGUUUUACUUUUCUUGGACAUCUUGUGCGAGGGAUUCUCAGGAUACUUUGGGCUAUCUUGAGGGUUAGGUUUUCCACCAGGAAUCCGAGGAGAUCACGGGUUUUCCCGCGGUCGAGGUUUCCAACGCAGCGUGUGGAAGUUUGUGAUGGACUAGUUGGAGCACCCCUGCAGGGUUAAAUCUUUCGGAAAUCCGAGCCCACAGUUAUGUGGAAAACUGGGAAACUUUGUUUAACAUCCGUUUCUAGAUAACUUGAAGUAAACUUAAUUAAAAUAUGCCAACUGUGUGCGUAACCGUGACUGUCUCUUCUCGCGAGUUCUGCAUCCGGAAGAGGACAAGGUGUGGUUAUGUUUGACGUAAGUAGGUGAUCAGUAUCAUUCAUUUGAUCAUUGUUAGUUCACGUUUGUUUAUGCUUGGAUCAUCCCCUUUUUAUUCUUGUACUCUUAAGUUAGCCACUCAAAUAAAUGCUUAGUUGCUUGCUGCAGCCUCACCACUUAACCAUACCUCACCCAUUAAGCUUUGCUAGUCUUGAUACCUUUGGAAAUGAGAUUGCUGAGUCCCUGUGCCUCACAAAUUACUACAACAACAGUUGCAGGCACAGGUAAAGCGAUACUUGGACAUGAGCACGAUGAUUGUGCUAUUUGGAGUUUCUUCUUCUUCUUCAUCGAUCUAGGAGGGGUUCCACGCCGGCAGCCUGGGAUAGCAAGGUGUGAAGUCAUUAUUUUAUUGUUUGUUUUCGUUUGUAGUCCGAUCCGACUCUUCUACAUGGUGAUUGAAUAUGUUGUUGUAUUCAUAUGAUCUUGAUGUAGCCUGUGGCGAGUGUAAGCCAAUUCCAUGUACUCAUAUCUUUUGUACAUGUACUUGCCACGACAUCCAUUCUUGCAAAAUAACGAGAUGCUAUCGUUGUCGAGGCCCUCAUGCCAAAAUAAGGAAAUGAUAGCAUCUUGGGCGUUACAG
rnacentral:lncRNA from 1 species